CCUACGGGAGGCAGCAGUGAGGAAUAUUGGUCAAUGGACGAGAGUCUGAACCAGCCAAGUAGCGUGAAGGAUGACUGCCCUAUGGGUUGUAAACUUCUUUUAUAUGGGAAUAAAAUGUUCCACGUGUGGGAUUUUGUAUGUACCAUAUGAAUAAGGAUCGGCUAAUUCCGUGCCAGCAGCCGCGGUAAUACGGAGGAUCCGAGCGUUAUCCGGAUUUAUUGGGUUUAAAGGGAGCGUAGGUGGAUUGUUAAGUCAGUUGUGAAAGUUUGCGGCUCAACCGUAAAAGUGCAGUUGAAACUGGCAGUCUUGAGUACAGUAGAGGUGGGCGGAAUUCGUGGUGUAGCGGUGAAAUGCUUAGAUAUCACGAAGAACUCCGAUUGCGAAGGCAGUUCACUGGACUGCAACUGACACUGAGGCUCGAAAGUGUGGGUAUCAAACAGGAUUAGAUACCCCAGUAGUC
rnacentral:rRNA from 1 species